GGAGAGAUGGCAGAGUGAUCGAUUGCGACGGUCUUGAAAACCGCUGAACUGUUAAAGGUUCCGGGGGUUUGAAUCCCUCUCUCUCCGCCA
rnacentral:tRNA from 1 species